rnacentral:rRNA from 1 species
CCUACGGGAGGCAGCAGUGGGGAAUAUUGGACAAUGGGGGGAACCCUGACCCAGCGACGCCGCGUGAGUGAAGAAGUCUUUCGGUAUGUAAAGCUCUAUCAGCAGGGAAGAAAGAAAUGCCGGUACCUGCCUAAGAAGCCCCGUCUAACUCCGUGCCAGCAGCCGCGGUAAUACGUAGGGGGCAAGCGUUAUCCGGAUUUACUGGGUGUAAAGGGAGCGUAGACGGUUACGCAAGUCUGGAGUGAAAGGCGGGGGCCCAACCCCCGGACUGCCUUGGAAACUGUAUAACUGGAGUGCAGGAGAGGUAAGUGGAAUUCCUAGUGUAGCGGUGAAAUGCGUAGAUAUUAGGAGGAACACCAGUGGCGAAGGCGGCAUACUGGACGGUAACUGACGUUGAGGCGCGAAAGCGUGGGGAGCAAACAGGAUUAGAUACCCUGGUAGUC